GACGAACGCUGGCUGCGUGCUUAACACAUGCAAGUCGAACGGGUCUGCCCUGUUUUUUGCGGGGUGGGUCAGUGGCGAACGGGUGAGUAACACGUGAGUAACCUGCCCCUCACUUCUGGAUAACCGCUUGAAAGGGUGGCUAAUACGGGGUGUUCUGGCUGUGCCGCAUGGUGUGGCUGGGAAAGAUUCACUUUUGUGGUGUUUUGGUGGGGGAUGGGCUCGCGGCCUAUCAGCUUGUUGGUGGGGUGAUGGCCUGCCAAGGCUUUGACGGGUAGCCGGCCUGAGAGGGUGGGCGGUCACACUGGGACUGAGAUACGGCCCAGACUCCUGCGGGAGGCAGCAGUGGGGGGUAUUGCACAAUGGGCGGAAGCCUGAUGCAGCGACGUCGCGUGAGGGAUGGAGGCCUUCGGGUUGUGAACCUCUUUCGCCGGUGAAGAAGGUCCUGCUCUUUGUGGUGGGGUUGACGGUAGCCGGGUUAUGAAGCGCCGGCUAACUACGUG
rnacentral:rRNA from 1 species